rnacentral:lncRNA from 1 species
GGGGAAAGGCUUCUGGAUUUUGAAGAAAAAUGUUGACAGUCAGUCUGAUUUGGUGUUGUGUUUCAUCAACCAAUCUAUAAUAGUAAAACACAAAUCUGUAAAAAUUAUUGAAAAGCAGUAUAAGCAUUCAUGUAAACCCUAAACUCAUGGAAUUAAGGGCCCGUUUGGAUUGGCUUAUUUUUUAGCUUAUGUAAAACACAGCUUAUGCAAAUAAAUAAGUUUUUAUGUAUUAUAAGUUUUUUCGAGCAGUUUAUAAAAAAUCAGCUUAUAAAAAUACAAUUUUUGUAAGUGAAAACAUAUGAAUUAACCUAAACAUUUAUUUAUUUGCAUAAACUAUUUUCAUAAGCUCAAAAAUAAGUCAAAUCCAAACGGGCCCUAAAUCAUAUGAAGAUUGUUUACUGGCUCAGAAGAAACACUUUCACGAAAGCAUUAAUCAAUCUACUACCAAAGAAGUAAAUGGCAGCCGUAAGACCGGCCUUUUUAUCAUCAUUGCCAGUAAAACUUGAAAAAAAACAAAAAUCAGCAAAGCACAUUAUAAAUCGAUUAAAGGAAAAUAAUGAUGCAAUGAAUUCAAUUAUUAGAAAUCGUGAAGUUUUUACAUGGCGGAGGCUUACGCGUUACUGUUGAUGGUAAGACUCGUGUGAGAGAGAACCAAUGAGUUAAGCGAGGUUAUGCACGGUGGUACAACGGCGGAGUAGCGGAGGGUGGCGACGGAAAAGAAACUUCGAAGAAGAAGCUCACCAUUUUUUUAUAGGACUUCAAUUUUGAGGGAUCCCCUUCAAUUAUUUUUUUUGGGUACAUUCCAU